rnacentral:rRNA from 1 species
UGGGCAACCUGCCCCUAGCACUGGGAUAACCCCGGGAAACCGGGGCUAAUACCGGAUACGACCUCAGAAGGCAUCUUCCGAGGUGGAAAGGGUUACUAGCUAGGGAUGGGCCCGCGGCCUAUCAGCUUGUUGGUGGGGUAACGGCCUACCAAGGCGACGACGGGUAGCCGGCCUGAGAGGGCGACCGGCCACACUGGGACUGAGACACGGCCCAGACUCCUACGGGAGGCA